CACGUAGGGCGCAAGCGUUGUCCGGAAUUAUUGGGCGUAAAGAGCUCGUAGGCGGUCUGUUGCGUCCGCUGUGAAAACCCGGGGCUUAACCCCUGGCUUGCAGUGGAUACGGACAGACUAGAGGUAGGUAGGGGAGAAUGGAAUUCCCGGUGUAGCGGUGAAGUGCGCAGAUAUCGGGAGGAACACCGGUGGCGAAGGCGGCUCACUGGCUCGUAACUGACGCUCAUGCACGACAGCGUGGGGAUCAAACAGG
rnacentral:rRNA from 1 species